CUUUGCAGAUGGCACAAGGAGAGGUCUCUCAGAAUCUCGAGCUCCGUUGCCCACCGUGUCAUAACCAGGAAGAAGUCGUUCGAGACGCUUGCAGAGCAACUGCAGAGGUCAAAGGUUCCUCGUGUACCAGCUAUCUUGUAUGGUACUGCCAUGGAACCGGAGGCCAGGAGGGACUUUGAGAGGAAAGUUGGCACUGCUGUGACACAGGUAGGCCUCGUCAUCAGUCCAUUCCAGCCUUGGCUAUGCGCAAGUCCCAACAGGCAUUUUGAAGCUGGUAGUGAUGUGAAAUUGCUAGAAAUCAAGUGUCCUUAUUCAAGGCGAGAUGAUACUAUGAUUGACCCUGUGUCACAGCAGAGUUAUGUGAACUACAUUAUUUACGAGGAUGGUCACUUGAAAGUUGCUCGCAGCCACCAGUAUUACUGCCAGGUGCAAAUUGCCAUGUAUGUCACCAACACAAAGGAAUGCUUCUUUUUUGUUUACAGUAGGAAACAGAGUAUCAUUGUUGUCGUUGAGCG